GUUGUAACCUGAAAGUGAUAUAUUGUAAUUUAAAAGAACGCAAUAUUAAAUUCUCGUACAAACACAAUGCACGCAUAUUUAACCAAGCUACAUUGUUACUUACGUGACACUUUUAUACGGAAUAAUUAACCACUUUCGUUAUAAGAAACUCAAGACGACCACCGACACUCCGCGGUCCCCUUAAAAAAACAUAAGCUAACCGAUGCCUACAGCGCUGACAGUCUUAUUGAUGCGAUAUUAUUCCGCUACGCGGCGCUGUUGAAUUCUCAUUCUCGUGAGGGACUCUUUCACUUAUGCCGUGCAGGAAAUAUCCUGACAGUUUGCAUUAUCAAGAAGCUGAUUGUUUUACGAUCUAGUGACGUUACGAUUACGUGAAGAAUCCAUACGUGCUACUAACAAGUGUUAAAUGCAUCCGUUACGUGGGACGUUAAUCCAGAAAGCCUUACAGUGUGUAGUGAACACGAAGCAUGGAGUUGGUUAUGUGGAAUUUUGAAAAUUGAAAAUCUUCAGCAUUACGCGAUGAAUAAUAGAGGCUCUCUAUACCUUAUAUAAGGCUACAGCAUCGUUUAUUGACAGUGUAAAGGUCCAUUCAUAUCGACGCACAAGAUUACUCCUAUGUACGAUCCUUAUCUGACAUGUGAAGUGAGGAUUCAGGCAUCAAGCAUGAUAAUGGCCGCAAGGUACGCUACACUUACGCAUAUUGAGUAACACUCAUAUGGUCUGUCAUAAAAAUGGAAAAGAUACCUUCUGAAUUUGCAUAUUUUACUCAAAAUAUCAUUCGCCCUCAACACUCUCCCAGAUACGACUAAGCCGUUGUUCGGAUGAAUACAAAAUAAGCAAAGAAGACUCGUAAGACGCGGAUUCCAUCAUGCUGUACGUAGCGCGCCGCGCGCGCCAUUAUAUUACGUAAAACUCGGUGUUCUGUAUUUGGCACGAGGUGUCUAAAGCAAUUUACGUUACUCGUGGCCGUUUAGAACAGGGCCGCCACCUUCCCAGGGACUUGCACAGAAUAGCUUUGCUGUAAGAGACAUAGCUAGUGUCUACUGCCCUGAGAUAUGACCGCGUUAAUAAAGCAGGUGCAAGCCCAAUGCACGCCACGUUGCACACUAUUAAUGCACCCUGCACCCACUGUCAGUUGGCGCACUGGCAGCCCGUAUGAAACGGCUAUUCAUUCGACGAGGGUAGACACGAUUUCCAACAUGUUUUCGUAACGUUACUUUGCACUUUUUAUCUCAGACUGCCUGCACCAUUUUUUCUUAUCUCGAAACGGGAUUCCAGAGGGGAUAAAACAUACGGCUCAAUAUGUGGGUAUCGAGAGCAGUGGGGAUGUAGGUUACACGUUACAGUCUUGGAAAUUGCAUCUAAAUAUAUAUUAUAAGAUUCUUGGAAUAUAAUAUAUGUAUUUAACUACUCGAUUACGUUGAUAUAUUUUCAAUAUUUAUCCUCGAUGGCUUCGUACAAACCUAUGGAAGAAAAGUGCACUUGCACCCAGCCCCGCUGCAUUCGCUUACAAUCGUAGCGUACGCAGGAAAUGAUCGAGGUCUAAUUACCGGCGUGUGUGCGGUGCUCGUAAUUCAAAGACGCAGCCUCGGGACAGUCAUCUCCAUCAUGCGGAGGGAUGGAUUUUUCAGUGCACUCGCCGCUCUCGAGGCUUUCUUUACACGCGAUGCUGCACACGGUGACCCCCUGUUAAUUAGAGUUAUUGAAUAUCGAGCAUAGAAUUGAUCGCAACUGCAUCCGACAUACAUAUAGAAAUGCAUACACCGUGUAAAGAUGCGCAUUUUUCUUCUGGCACGAGCGCUAUGCACCCAUCUACCCACGUAUAUAUUUACGAUGCGAUAUUUAAUUCGGUUACCGUUUUAAAUGCACUUUC